UACGAAGGGGGCUAGCGUUGUUCGGAAUUACUGGGCGUAAAGCGCACGUAGGCGGAUACUUAAGUUAGGGGUGAAAUCCCAGAGCUCAACUCUGGAACUGCCUUUAAUACUGGGUAUCUCGAGUCCGGAAGAGGUGAGUGGAAUUCCGAGUGUAGAGGUGAAAUUCGUAGAUAUUAGGAAGAACACCAGUGGCGAAGGCGGCUCACUGGAUCGGUACUGACGCUGAGGUGCGAAAGCGUGGGGAGCAAACAGG
rnacentral:rRNA from 1 species